CCAUCAAAAUAAAGGAUAUAAGUUUCUCUUUCUUGUGAUGUUUUUCUUUUGCUUGUAAAUUGUUUAAAACGCCAGAAAUUCGCCGGUGAAAACGGCGCGCCGUAAGCGGGGAGGCCGGGGCUUCAGAUCGUCGUUCCACACUUCCGGUCAUCGGCAUGUUUCUAGCAUACACCGCGCCGCCCGAUCCAAACGCGCCAAAUUUUGGGCCGCCUGCCCCUCAGAAACGGAGGAUAUGUGACCUAAGCGGCACAAAUAGAACCUUUUUUGACGCAAUGGAUGAAGAAUUUCAAGCCAGGUUCCUACCAACCGGGCGAGGUUGUCACAGUUGGUACUGAGGUUCAGUCGCAGAAGAUGGCUCAGAAACAGUGACACUUACCUCCUUCCAUCUUGUUGCAGGUGGAGUGUAGAUUGCACCAAGUACCAGAUGUAGCUGAAUAGAUAUAAGACUGGAGAGCGGAACGGAGAUAUUGAAUGGUAGAGGUCAAACAUAAUGUUGACAAGUUGUGCAGCCAGUGCUAUUAGCAUUAAGUUUGUUAAAGGAUACUGUUGCUACCAGUAACCACAGAAAAUGAUAAGUAAGCCUGUUGUUUUUGUAAAAAGUAGUUUACAUUGCAUUAUA